CAGUCGCCGCGGGAACACGAAGGGUGCAAGCGUUAAUCGGAAUUACUGGGCGUAAAGCGUGCGUAGGCGGUUCGUUAAGUCUGUUGUGAAAGCCCCGGGCUCAACCUGGGAAUGGCAAUGGAUACUGGCGAGCUAGAGUGUGUCAGAGGAUGGUGGAAUUCCCGGUGUAGCGGUGAAAUGCGUAGAGAUCGGGAGGAACAUCAGUGGCGAAGGCGGCCAUCUGGGACAACACUGACGCUGAGGCACGAAAGCGUGGGGAGCAAACAGGAUUAGAUACCCCCGUAGUCCCUGUCUCUUAUAC
rnacentral:rRNA from 1 species